rnacentral:tRNA from 1 species
CAGGAAAUGUGCCCGAAAUAAAGGGCUACUUUGAUAGAGUACGUCACAGGAGUUAAAAUCCCCUCAUUUCCU